CUGUAGAAAUAUAGAAUCGUUAGUAGAAAAUCGUGGAGGUAUUAAAACAAGGUAUUGAGUAAUUGAAAUUUUGAGGGAAAAAAAAAAAGCGAAUGAGUUUCAAUAAUUUGUCCUUAAUAUUGCUCUUUCAAAAAAAAAAAAACCAUAACUUUUUUAUUCAAAAUAUGUAAUGAUCCUCGAUAUAUUUUCUUGGAUCAAAAAUAUCACAAUAGGAAGAUUUGGAGAUAUAAAAAGAUAUGGUGGCUAUCUAAAAUUUUCAAUGGGAGGUGGUUAAUUCGUUUGGAGCUUUACGACGAUGAGAAAGACGAAUACGAGGUAUAAUGAAACAAUGAAUUGUGUUUUGUGAUUUUUUGUUAGUUUUGUUUACAGCAGCUGUUGGUGAUACCUUUUAUCGGUGUUUAUGGCAAAUUAGAGGAUCUGAAAAUAGAAGGGAACUCAUAUACAUGGAUGAUGGCUUAUGGGAUCGACAAUUGGGUGCACUCCCCAGAAGAGAUUACCAAUGCAGUUCUCAUAGGUUAUUAACUAACUUCCAAGUAUCAAGGGAAGUUACUCUUACUAAGGAAGGAAACGAAUAUCAGGAUAUAAAGUCUCUAAAUUGUCGAUGGACUUCCAGAUAAAGGUAUUAAUUGAAAGCUUAUGGUGGUAUUCAUGCUUAGCUCUUGAUUAUUUUUUUUUUCUACGGAUAUAUAUCCUUGAAUUCUUCGGCAUAGUUUGAUUCAGGGAGAUAGAAAGUUACAUGAGUUAAUCAUAAUAAUACAUGGAAAUAAGUACUUAAAUGUUGCAGAGAGUUCGAUCAUCCUGUGUUGCACAGCUUGUGUUUCUCCGGGUUUAUAUCGUAUAACAAAAAUUCGGCGGAGAAGAAAUUUAAUAUUAUUUGUGCUUAAAAAAAUCCCGGUGGAAGGUCACCACAUUGGUAUCAGAAAUACAAAUUUCCCGGAGAAUACCAAGAGUGGCACAUUAACUAUUAUGGAUUUUGUAAUCAGAAUAAUUUGAUUUUGUAAUUAGAAUAAUUUCGGUAUUGCAUUACAAUCAGAAGAUUUUAUUCA